rnacentral:rRNA from 1 species
GAUGAACGCUGGCGGCGUGCCUAAUACAUGCAAGUCGAGCGAACAGACGAGGAGCUUGCUCCUCUGACGUUAGCGGCGGACGGGUGAGUAACACGUGGAUAACCUACCUAUAAGACUGGGAUAACUUCGGGAAACCGGAGCUAAUACCGUAUAACAUGUUGAACCGCAUGGUUCAACAGUGAAAGACGGUCUUGCUGUCACUUAUAGAUGGAUCCGCGCCGCAUUAGCUAGUUGGUAAGGUAACGGCUUACCAAGGCAACGAUGCGUAGCCGACCUGAGAGGGUGAUCGGCUACACUGGAACUGAGACACGGUCCAGACUCCUACGGGAGGCAGCAGUAGGGAAUCUUCCGCGAUGGGCGAAAGCCUGACGGAGCAACGCCGCGUGAGUGAAGAAGGUCUUCGGAUCGUAAAACUCUGUUAUUAGGGAAGAACAAAUGUGUAAGUAACUAUGCACGUCUUGACGGUACCUAAUCAGAAAGCCACGGCUAACUACGUG